GGUGUCGUAGCUCAGUUGGUAGAGCAACGGACUGAAAAUCCGUGUGUCACUGGUUCAAUUCCAGUCGACACCA
rnacentral:tRNA from 1 species